rnacentral:rRNA from 1 species
GACAGAGGGUGCGAGCGUUAUCCGGAAUCAUUGGGCGUAAAGCGCUUGUAGGAUGGUAGGUAAGUCAGAAGUGAAAUCUCCCCGCUCAACGGGGAACCCGCUUCUGAAACUGUUUACCUUGAGGGCGUCAGAGGCAAGUAGAAUUCCCGGUGUAGGGGUAAAAUCCGUUGAUACCGGGAGGAAUACCGAAAGCGAAGGCAGCUUGCUGGGACGUUCCUGACUCUGAGAAGCGAAAGCGCGGGGAGCAAACAGG